ACGGGGUGCAGCAGGCGCGAAACCUCCGCAAUGCACGCAAGUGUGACGGGGGGAUUCCAAGUGUUAAUGUUUUACAUUAACUUUUCUAAAGUGUAAAUAGCUCUAGGAAUAAGGGCUGGGUAAGACGGGUGCCAGCCGCCGCGGUAAUACCCGCAGCUCAAGUGGUCUGGACUUUUAUUGGGUCUAAAGCGUUCGUAGCUGGAUUUGUAAGUUCUCUGUGAAAUCUAACGGCUCAACCGUUAGGCGUGCAGAGGAUACUAUUAAUCUUGAGACUGGGAUGGGCCAAGGGAACUCUCGGGGUAGGGGUGAAAUCCAAUAAGCCUGAGGGGACCAUCUGUGGCGAAGGCGCUUGGCUAGAACAGGUCUGACAGUGAGGGACGAAAGCUAGGGGAGCGAACGGGAUUAGAUACCCCGGUAGUCCUAGCCGUAAAUGAUGCAAACUAGGUGUUGCAGCCUUUUCGUGAGGUUGCAGUGCCGAAGGGAAGCCGUUAAGUUUGCCACCUGGAAGUACGUCGCAAGGC
rnacentral:rRNA from 1 species